GUGCCUUUUUCCGAACACGACGUAUGUCUUCAGUGCUCAUAAGUUGUUGACGUAUUGUGUCUCCAUGCAAAACCAUCAUAUCAUCCAUAAGCACCUUCUUCUUUGAGGUGCCAACUCGGAGUGCAGAUCGUGGGCGUUUCAAGGAUAUUGUUUCAUGCACAGGAGGUGACGGUUUCAUUUUCAAAACCGAAGAUCUUCUUCCAACUAAAAUAGAUGAUAACAAAUCAUCAUCAUCAGGAAUGGAUUCUAUAACCCUCUUAGAUCGAUGCACCCCAACUGACUCAGCUGAGUUCAAACUCUGGGCUGUUAAAGUACUUUCAGUAAAGCUUCGCUUCUUU
rnacentral:misc_RNA from 1 species